UACAUUAAAAUAAAGGCUUUAUUUGUGCUGAAACCUUUACUAUGAAUGUAUAGCUCUUUGAUGGAUGCACAUUAGCAUUUCUGUAUCUGGGGCCCACUUUCUAACUAUGGUAUGCUUCUAAGAGACACAGCAAGGAGCUGCUUUUGCAAAAAAGUCUUUCCUCCAUUUUGUUUCAGUCUGGUAAUCAAGCAAUUAGUUCACAAAAUGGAGGGUGUGGCGAGGUGUUUGCAGCUAGCGAAGAGUUGGAAGAUUUCGCUGCGGAAAUGAAUUGAGCAUUUCUUUGACUUCUGAAGGAU